GAUAACUUUAAAGAUAAGAGGUUGCUGACGAAUCUUGGUAUUUGUUAGAAAUUCAUUCAAUUUAAUACCUCAUAUUUUUCUAAGUUAUUUGCUUUUGAAGGCGUUUAGAUGUCCGUGUGUACUUCAGUGAAUUUCCAGCUUUUACAUCCCUGUGUAAGAUGGAAAUAACAUUUGAAUUGAAGAUUUAUAAUUUAGCCUUUAAAAUUGUAGAUUUUCAAUGACCAGAUCUUGUUUGAACUGGUAAAUACAGCUUCUUUCUUGCCAAUUCAUGACAUGAUUUCCUUCUGGACUUCUUUGUUGGCUUGCAUGUUAAUGCCCAGGUGCUGUAUUCUAGUUGGCUGUUAUACGAUGCCCUAGAGGUGGCUGCAUUUCAAGCGCGUUGUAUACUUUGGGAAGCUCCUUGGAAUAUUUGUGAUGGAAGGGCACUAAUUUUCUGCACAGAUAUCAGAUAUUGUUUAUGCUAAGAGGAUCGAUGGGCAGUGAUCAAUCCCGUGGGGGUUGAUAUAGAUGCAACAAUACAGCCAAGCACUCUCCCGUCCACUCCAAUACUCCACCAGAAUGAGAAGAGUGAGAGAAGUCUAUGGGAGAGCAUCAGCUGUCAACUCACCAUGGUGAAGAUACUGUGAGUAAACUUUCACCUAAGAUAACGCGAGGGACAUGAACAUAGAUGGUGUUGAUCUUAGACUUCUGCACAGAAAUAAUCUUAAAAUGCCAAUUAAUUUCUUCACCACAAGGUUGCUUAAUCAUGCUCUGAGAGAGAGACUGCAUCUGAUUUUUGUGGUUUUCAUCUAGUAAACCACGUCACAACAAGAACCAAAGGAUGGAAGUUGAGAUUAGAAAAGUUUAUGUUGGAAAUAAGAAACAGCUCUUGCAUAACAGGGGCAAUUAACCAUAACUGCUCAGCAAACAGCUUGCCAAAGGAAAACGCAAAAUCAUCAUCAUUUGGAGUCUUCAGAUUAUUAUUUGGGUAGCAACAAGGAGCCCUAAGCAUGGAUCAGAACCCCUGUGGGCUAGGCCCUGAUGUCUCUCUAAAAGAUAUGCUACAGUUCAGGCCCAAGUCACCCAACUUGAGGAUGAUCAGUCACUAAUGAGGGAAGAUUAAUUCCAUCUGUUACAGGAAUUACUGGAUGAAAUUCUAUAGCCUCUUUUAUGCAUAAGGGCAGACUGUGUGAUCAGCAUAGUCCGUUCUGACCUUUUAGACUCCAUGAAAACUGCUUCUCUAUACCAACCAAAGUGCACAGACCAUUUGUGGAUGAUACCCUGGCAGGCUGGGAUAAGUUAUUCUAGCUUUAACAGAAGGGACACGCUUGAGCAUACCUAACUGAAGGCACUAACUCUUGCCGAGUUCACAUGGCCUGCACAAGUGAUCCUUGCAUAAGGCCAGCAAUUGGAAUUGAACCUAGGACCUCUGGAGAAGCUUGGUGCAUGAGCCUCUAUCCCAGGAGCUAAAAGUCACCUGAUCUUUUGGCAAAGGCUGUAGAACAGUUUCGUUAUGCUAUCUGUCAGUGGGCUCGGUGCCUCUCAAGUGCACCCGAAGGUGAAUGGGUUCCGUGCGGACUUUGGCUGCUUUUGUGAAGGUUCUGACUUUUUUGAAAGCUGGAACUCCCCUCUGUGCCAAGCACCAGCUGAAAGAUUUUGCCCCUUUUAAGCCCCUACAAGAGCUCCUCACACCCUAUCAGCAGGUCAGUCAUCAGGCACCGGGAGCCCGUCCCAGGAAAACAUGAGGCUGAAUCAACCCUGUGAAAAGCUGGGGGGUUCCAAAUUUUUCCUGAAAUCUGGAGGGCUGUGCUUGAGUUUGAAAAUUUGAGAGUUCUUACAACUUCUAUUGGACAACCAAAGGAAAAAGUGGAACAGCAGAGUGCCCUGAUCACCACUGGAGGGGAAAGCAGCCAACUCCGGCUAAAGCAUCUCCUUGUUUUGCUGUCUGGAUCAACCAAACCACGUAGGAUAAUUAAACACCUUCUGCAGCUUUCCACAUCCUGUCUCCCACCUUUCCCUUCCGUUCCUGCAAUUGGUAGCAUGUGGGCAGACUGCUGUGCCGAUCCCUUCUGAAAUCAGCAAGUUCUAUGUGGGCACAGUGGUCCGUCUGGGCGCAGUCAAUUGCAGGCAUGGGGAGUUACGUGGUAACUACUUCAGGCUAUGGUAUUUUUGCUCUCUCUUUCUCUCUCUCUCUUUCUCUCUCUCUCACAAACACUUUUCACAAUAACUUGAACCAGGCUUUUUAAAUCUGUUAUAAAUCUAUAAGUAGCAAAGGACCAUACUAGCAGAACACAUUUUGACUUCACUCAUGAAAAAAAAUAAGUGGUUCUUGAUAUUGUUUAAACAUAAAUGAAGGCUAAAUAAAAAAAAUGAUUGUACUUCGUAAUCAUGCUGUACCAAAUGCCAGUGUACGUAUGUGUCUGUUUACCUGUCAAUAUCCCUCAAAAGCAUUUGCAUUUUCCAUACAAAUAAUGUCAGCAUAUAUAUAUUUCCCUUUUGCAUCAAGCUAUUGUGCACUCCUACAAUGUUGCUAUAUAGAAUACAGUUCGUCAAAUACUGAUAAAAGUAGUGGUCUAGUUGUGUACUAGAAAGACAAGGUGUGGGAGGGAAUGUUCCCUAUAAGCUGAGUGCUAGGGCAAUCCCUCAGUAGAGAUUCA